UCUUCUUGCUUUUACAGAAUUAGGGGAAAUAUAAGAAAGCUAAACAAGGCAAACAAGAUAUGUGCUGCUGCCCUGAUAUGUUAAUCUGAAGACAGAGAAGAGAAAAAAAAUCAGAUGCAAGACCUGAGAAACUGAAUUCAAGGUCAAUAUCAUAACAUAGUUUGCCUGCAGAGAAGCCAAGAGCAGAUGAAAUCUGUAAUGGAAACAGAGCAAGAGUGGGACACAGACUGCAUAAAUACGCACAGUGGCACAGUUCUCUUUCCAAACUUACCAAGAGUUUGAUGGGAAUGCCAGUUAUA
rnacentral:lncRNA from 12 species